AGUGCUGGUCGCGCUCUGGCUGGGCACGAACGUAGAGGUCAGGCUAGGGCUGACGAUGCUGGCUAAGCGGGGGCGCACGUCUGGGAAGUCGUCGUCGUAGUCACCGAUGUCCGUGACCUUCCAGAGGUCCUGCCCUCAACAUGUGGGGAUUACAAUUCAAGAUGAGAUUUGGGUCAGGAAACAGAGCCAAACCAUAUCAAGAGCCUCUGGUAACCACUGUUCUACUCAAUACUUCUAUGAGGUGAACUUCUUUGGAUUCCACAUAUGAUCAAGAUCAUGAGGAAGGAGGAGCAAGUCUUCUUUGUCAUGCUAUUAAGAAAAUACCCAGAGUCACAGCACCAUGAUCUCCUUGUGAAGCAGAACAAGUAAUAUAAAACUGAUCUAAAGAGGCCUCCCCUCUACUCUUAUCUGUCUGGUCGAGUCAUUUGGGUCCAAGUGGGCACCAUUGUGGGAGGGUGGGAGGACUCAUCACUGGGGGCCCAGGCAUCAUUGGCAUGUGGCCUCCUGUGUUAGUUUGUUCUCAUGCUGCAAAUAAAGACAACUUGAGACUGGAUAAUUUA
rnacentral:lncRNA from 1 species